GUAUAUGUGUGUGAGAGAGAGAGAGCGCCUGUGUGUAUGAGAGAGAGAGCCUGUGUGUAUGAGAGAGUACGUAUGUGUGUGAGAGAGAGAGAGCGCGCGCCUGUGUGUAUGAGAGAGCGAGCGUGUGUGUAUGAGAGAGAGAGCGUGUGUAUAUGUGAGAGCGCGCCUGUGUGUUCUGGUCCUUUUCUACUACAUACACAUUGAUCUUAUUUGAUCGCCCCGGGUGUUGGCACCUGCGCCCGUGGGUGACAUGAGAAUACCCCUCUGGCUAUGCCCCCUGGUUGCGGGGCUGUGUGCCCGGAGACUGGCAGUACAGGCCGCCGCUGUGGAAGUGAUGAAUUGAUCAGAUAUACUAAACUGCGUCAGCGGUUUAUGAGUAUACAGGCGAUUCUGAUCCGC